rnacentral:rRNA from 1 species
GACGAACGCUGGCGGCGUGCUUAACACAUGCAAGUCGAACGAGACGAUUGAAAGCUUGCUUUUAAAAGUCGAGUGGCAAACGGGUGAGUAACGCGUAGACAACCUGCCUUUGAGAUGGGGACAACAGUUCGAAAGGACUGCUAAUACCGAAUGUUGUAUAUUUUCCACAUGGAAGAUAUAUUAAAGAUGGCCUCUAUUUAUAAGCUAUCGCUCAAAGAUUGGUCUGCGUCUGAUUAGCUGGUUGGUGGGGUAACGGCCUACCAAGGCGACGAUCAGUAGCCGGUCUGAGAGGAUGAACGGCCACAUUGGGACUGAGACACGGCCCAGACUCCUACGGGAGGCAGCAGUGGGGAAUCUUCCACAAUGGACGAAAGUUUGAUGGAGCAACGCUGCGUGAGUGAAGAAGGGUUUCGGCUCGUAAAGCUCUGUUGUCGGGGACGAAUGUGCAGUAUUUGAAUAAAGUACUGCAAUGACGGUACCUGACGAGGAAGCCACGGCUAACUACGUGCCAGCCGCCGCGGUAA